rnacentral:rRNA from 1 species
CCUGGCUCAGGACGAACGCUGGCGGCGUGCUUAACACAUGCAAGUCGAACGCUGAAGCUCAGCUUGCUGGGUGGAUGAGUGGCGAACGGGUGAGUAACACGUGAGUAACCUGCCCCCUUCUUUGGGAUAACGCCCGGAAAUGGGUGCUAAUACUGGAUAUUCACUGGCUUUCGCAUGGGGGUUGGUGGAAAGGUUUUUUCUGGUGGGGGAUGGGCUCGCGGCCUAUCAGCUUGUUGGUGGGGUGAUGGCCUACCAAGGCUUUGACGGGUAGCCGGCCUGAGAGGGUGACCGGUCACAUUGGGACUGAGAUACGGCCCAGACUCCUACGG